GUGCUCGCUUCGGCAGUACAUAUACUAAAAUUGGAACAAUACAGAGAAGAUUAGCAUGGUCCCGAGCAAGGAUGACAUGCAAAUUCGUGAAAUGUUCCAUACUAAA